GACAAGUGCGGCAUUUAAAGGUGCGCUUGUUUUGUCCACAGACUGGUGUGACGUUUAAAUGUGCACUUGUUUUUUCCACAGGCUGGUGCGGCGGUUAAAGGUGCGCUUGUUUUUUCCACAGGCUGGUGCGGCGGUUAAAGGUGCGCUUGUUUUUUCCACAGGCUGGUGCGGCGGUUAAAGGUGCGCUUGUUUUUUCCACAGGCUGGUGUACUGGGUGGCUGCAGUGUUCCAGAGCAGUAUCCGGGCCUUCAGGUUUGGGUUGUCCUUUCUUCCAUCCCUCGCCAUGAUUGCAGCCAAUCUGUACUUCCUGGUUACCAUGGAGAUGAGUGGCGGUGCUUUCAGCCCACCUCAGAAAGAGCAGGCCCCGCCUCAAGGACGCCAGCGCUUCUGGGGCUGAGCGGUGGACCAGGACUUAACCCCGAACUGUGCCAUUAAAAUCCCAACAGCUCAGGAUAUGGCCAUAACAAUAUUUAGUUUUUGUGAUGUUUUUCUAUGAUUCAGUGAUUUUGGUAAAGAUGCUGCUUCAGUUUGACACAGUUUCCUCUGUAGGAAUCUGGUCUGUGCAUGCAACAACUUUAUGAAUCAUGUAUUUUAACCAUUAUUUCACUGUGAAAAUGCUGUGUGUCCUACAGACUCCACUGUUAGACUGAAUCAGACUCAAUGUGUGCACAUAUGACUAAACUCUGUCCUCAAAUGAUCUGCGAAAAAUUACAUCAAAAUAUAUUAUUAUUUUAAGAGCUGACACUACAAGCAAAC
ensembl:lncRNA